ensembl:lncRNA
GCCCGGUUGGAGCGCAGCGCGAGGCCUCUGCUCUCCAGUCCCGUGACCCGGGACUUCUUCUGCCGCCCGGGCGUGUGCGCCGCUGGUGCGAGAGGGGCAUUUGGGAAAAAUCCGACCGAGCACUUUGUUGAUGUCGGUCAAAAAUAGAAAACUACCCAAGUGUCAACAAUGAGGGACUGCUUGAAGAAAAUGCGGGGAUGUGCAUUCCUCCGGAGGACUUUUGUCAGCAAAAAACAUUUUCUUAGGCUGUUUAAUGACAUGAGAAAGUGCUCAAUAAUGAUGUAAAGUGAAAAAUUACCUUCUGAAGAAAAUCUCGGUAUCCCAGUAACGUAUUUUGAAAACAUCUGUUUAUAUAAAAGACUGAAAGGAAAUUCAUCAAAAUGCUAAAAGUAUUUCUGGCUGGUAGGGCCAGUUCUUUUUCCUUUUCACAGUCCACGUUUUUGAUAAAGAGUAUGAAUUAAUUGGAUUAAGCUAGCGAUGAAGAAGGAGAAGGCACCCUGCCUGCUGCAAGGCCCGGAACCGCGCGCAAUUUCGGAUUAUCCGCGGGUACCCAAGUCCUCGGGUCAGGAGAUGUUAAGCGUGAUAACUUCACACGCUGGCAAUUUGGGGUGACGGUCGAGAGUCGAGAGUGGCGGCGUGGAGGGGUCGGGGGACGACCAGUGCGAACCAAGCGUCCCGAUCGCCAGUCCCGGCUGCGCCCGCCCCGGCUCAUGGGGGGAAGCGUGCUCAGGAGAGCAGCGGAGGCAGAGGAAGCGGCCGGGUGAGCUCGCUCAGAGAAGGCCGGCCUGCCCGCUCUCGCAGGGCUGCGGCACCGCAGAGCGGAAGUCAUUACGCCCCGCUGCCGCCCGGGCUCUGCGGGGACUCCCAGGUCUAAUUACCUAAUUACUGCCUCCCUGGAGCUCUCAGGGAGUUAUUGCGAAGAAGGCCUUUGUUUUGGUUUGGUGUAAGUAGCGCAGAUAAUUCUCUUCCCACGGAUGUUGCAGCUACUCUCUCGGAUAUUUUCUUUUUAAUAGAGCAAAAAUAAUUCCCUGCUUUAAAGAAGAAAAAAAAGCCUUCUCAGUGUCCCCAAAAAUAAUCCAUAACCAAUCUAUAAGUGAAAAUUUGGGUGAGUUUAUUCUGAGCCAAAAUCUGAGGACCACGGCCCAGGGCCUUUCUUCCCAAAGGAAGGGCACCAAAGAAGUGGGGUGUACAGAGUGGUUAUAUACCCCCAAAGAGGAUGUUUCACAUAUGAUUCAAAUGUCCGGAGACUGCUCUCGGCAUAGUGAUUGAUGGACACAGCAGGUAGGUCUGCUGUCUCCGUAGACACAGCAGGAUGGCAGGUCUGUUGUCUCCAGCUGGGUGGUCACAGGAUGUCUUUUAUCCCUUCCAAGCGGCUGUAACCUGGGCUUCACAGUUGAGGAAGAAAGAUUGACAAGGCAACAUGCCAUUCAUGGGAGUAACUCAAGAAUGAUCAAAUAAUAGUGCAUAAAUCAAAUGCUAUUGGAAACUGCCUGGGAGAGUGAGAUAAAGCCCCACAGAUAAGACGACAUUUAUGCUGGAUCUUGAAAGGGGAAGAUAGUGCCAUCUUAUGGAGAGGCGCAAGUGGUCAGGAACUGAUGGAUCCAGCCAACAGCCAGAGAGGACCGUAGGCCUGCCUGCCAACCCGAGUGAUUGAGCUUGAAGGAGAAUUUUCCAGCCUUGAGAUGCCUGCAGUCCUGCCAACACCUUGGCUGCAGCCUUGUGAGAGACCCUGAGCCAGAGGACUCAGCUAAACGGCACCCAGAUUCCUAACCCACAGAAACUGAGAAAAUAAGGGUUUUUUGUUGUUGUUGUAAGCUGCUUAGUUUGGGGUAAUUUGUUACCCAACAAUAGAUUAAUACAAGGACAUUGAUUCCUCAAAAUCACUAUUUUAAAGCUUCUGAAAUCUCUUUGAGAGCUGCAACCAGGAAAAAGCUAGCAUUCUCCAAGAAUGGUGUGUUUCUUUCUUCCUAGGGACAGUGAGAAUAACACACAGGUGUUUUCCUUUUAGUUUUGGCCACCAGGAAGCUCAGAGCCAAAUUUAUGGCUCAGUUUUAAUAAUUAUGCAAGACCCUAUGGCAUGCUUAUCUGUAUUCUUACACCUGGUCUUUUCCUUUAUUCUGAUUUGUCUUUUUCUUUGACCUGAGUUUUUAGUUCAUUUUUGUAUUUUUCUAUAUUACAUGAAUUAUUUUAAGCCAUCUCAAAUUCAGCUUACAAAGAAGCAAGGCAUUCACAAGUAAUUUUUCAAAAAUAGUUAAGUUUGCACCUGUUGAACACGAGGUGCCUGGAGGUGGUGGUGAGGAAGAUCAGGUCAUGGAAGCGCGGCUCUGGAGGUCUGGGCAUUGGUCAGGGUUAAUUUGGACUGGGUCGGAAAAUAUCAAGUGAUAAUGACAAAAAAGGACAAAAGGAUGGCAAUUGAUCACCACCCCCGGGGCGGGGGGGGGUGGGGCGAGG